GUAGGUGGCAAGCGUUGUCCGGAAUUAUUGGGCGUAAAGCGCGCGCAGGUGGUUCGUUUAAGUCUGAUGUGAAAGCCCCCGGGCUCAACCGGGGAGGGUCAUUGGAAACUGGGGAACUUGAGUGCAGGAGAGGAAAGUGGAAUUCCACGUGUAGCGGUGAAAUGCGUAGAUAUGUGGAGGAACACCAGUGGCGAAGGCGACUUUCUGGCCUGUAACUGACACUGAGGCGCGAAAGCGUGGGGAGCAAACAGGAUUAGAUACCCUGGUAGUCCACGCCGUAAGCGAUGAGUGCUAAGUGUUGGGGGGUUUCCGCCCCUCAGUGCUGCAGCUAACGCAUUAAGCACUCCGCCUGGGGAGUACGGUCGCAAGACUG
rnacentral:rRNA from 1 species